rnacentral:rRNA from 1 species
UACGUAGGGUGCGAGCGUUAAUCGGAAUUACUGGGCGUAAAGCGUGCGCAGGCGGUUCGUUGUGUCGGCGGUGAAAGCCCCGGGCUUAACCUGGGAAUGGCCGUUGAAACUGGCGAACUGGAGUGAGGCAGAGGGGGGUGGAAUUCCGCGUGUAGCAGUGAAAUGCGUAGAGAUGCGGAGGAACACCGAUGGCGGAAGGCAGCCCCCUGGGCUAACACUGACGCUCAGGCACGAAAGCGUGGGGAGCAAACAGG